rnacentral:rRNA from 1 species
GAGUUUGAUCCUGGCUCAGGACGAACGCUGGCGGCGUGCUUAAUACAUGCAAGUCGAGCGAGGUUAUGUUGUGGACAUCCUUCGGGAGGGAAGCGAUAUGACCUAGCGGCGGACGGGUGAGUAACGCGUGGGCAAUCUGCCCUAAAGCUCGGGAUAACAGUGGGAAACUGCUGCUAAUACCGGAUGACUUUAUCGGGAGGCAUCUUCGGAUAAAGAAAGUGGUCAAUCAUUGAUUGACCAGCGCUUUAGGAUGAGCCCGCGUCCCAUUAGCUAGUUGGUGAGGUAACGGCUCACCAAGGCGACGAUGGGUAGCCGGCCUGAGAGGGUGAACGGCCACACUGGGACUGAGACACGGCCCAGACUCCUACGGGAGGCAGCAGUAGGGAAUAUUGCGCAGUGGAGGGAACUCUGACGCAGCGACGCCGCGUGAGCGAUGAAGGUUUUCGGAUCGUAAAGCUCUGUCCUUGGGGAAGAAGGGUGCGAAGCAUCUGACGGUACCUAAG